UACGGAGGAUCCAAGCGUUAUCCGGAUUUAUUGGGUUUAAAGGGUGCGUAGGCGGCUUUGUAAGUCAGUGGUGAAAUAUGGCAGCUCAACUGUCAGGGUGCCAUUGAUACUGCAGAGCUUGAGUACAGAUGAGGUAGGCGGAAUUGACGGUGUAGCGGUGAAAUGCUUAGAUAUCAGGAGGAACACCGGUGGCGAAGGCGGGUCUCUGGGCCGUAACUGACGCUGAGGAGCGAAAGCGUGGGGAGCGAACAGG
rnacentral:rRNA from 1 species